GGAAUGAACUGUGAGGCUGCCUGUGGGAUUUUCUAGGGGUCUCGGUGGGGGUCCAGACAAGCGAGUCUCCAACACGCCCCUGAGGACGGUUGAUGGCUCCCCCAUGAUGAAGGCAGCCAUGUACUCGGUUGAGAUCACUGUGGAGAAGGACAAGGUGACAGGGGAGACCAGGGUGCUGUCCAGCACCACGCUGCUCCCUCGGCAGCCGCUCCCUCUGGGCAUCAAAGUCUACGAGGACGAGACCAAAGUGGUCCAUGCCGUGGACGGCACCGCCGAGAACGGGAUCCACCCGCUGAGCUCCUCCGAGGUGGAUGAACUCAUCCACAAAGCGGACGAGGUCACGCUGAGCGAGGCAGGGUCCACGGCCGGGGCGGCAGAGACCCGGGGGGCUGUGGAGGGGGCAGCCCGGACCACACCCUCCCGGCGGGAGAUCACCGGUGUGCAGGCACAGCCAGGCGAGGCCACGUCCGGCCCGCCGGGGAUCCAGCCCGGCCAGGAGCCCCCGGUCACGAUGAUCUUCAUGGGUUACCAGAACGUGGAGGAUGAGGCCGAGACCAAGAAGGUGCUGGGCCUUCAGGAUACCAUCACGGCGGAGCUGGUGGUCAUCGAAGACGCGGCUGAGCCCAAGGAGCCUGCGCCACCCAACGGCAGUGCCGCCGAGCCUCCCACGGAGGCCGCCUCCAGGGAAGAGAAUCAGGCGGGGCCCGAGGCCACCACCAGCGAACCCCAGGACCUCGACAUGAAGAAGCACCGUUGUAAAUGCUGCUCCAUCAUGUGAGCCGGCCCCCGAGACCCCGGCCCCCACCCCACACCACAGACACCCACCAGCCCGGCCCCUCCCGGCGCCUGCCCACCCUCCACCCACAGCCUCACGGGUCCAGGACUUGGCGUGUUGUUACAUGUUCCUUCCAAGUUUUCUUUCGCUGGAAAGAGGGACAGGGGCCCCCACCCGUCACCACGCCCCGACACUCCCCCCGAACCAGAGCCGUGCACUUGUGCCUGGUAGGAGAGAGACAGGACAGACCCGCUUUUCCCGAGACAAGGACCCCCAUGUCACGGCAGCUUCACAGACGCGGCUCGCGCCCACCGGGGUCCUGGCGGGUGGGACCCGCAGCCUCCAUGCGGCCCAGGCCAGCCUGCCACCCUCUGGGCCUCCCACCUGUGCCUUUCUCUGAGGGGACACCCCGCCAGAGAGGGCCCCGGGAGCCGGGGGCGGGUACUGGGGCCUGCUCAGGCCCUGGAAGCGAGGCUCUAUGGGGUUCCCUGGCCAAGGCGCUGGCCCCCCAAUCUCAGGCAGUUGGGGUGAGGCCGUGCCUCUUUGGGGGCUAAAGGUCUUGGGUGGAGGACAGGCCCCUCUGCUGUGCCCCCAUGCCCUGUGUGGGCCCAACCAGUGGACAAUGGAGUCUGGGGGAGGGGGAACCCCGGGACAUGCCCCCACCCGGGAGGGGCCGGUAACCCCUGGGCUAUCUUCUAGACGGGGCGAACCAGGGGUCAUUGACCUGCCCCCCUGCACAGGGCAGGGACCGAGUGAGCCACUCCUUGUCCCGAGCUCCCGCCCCCACUGGGCCCUCCUUCCUCCUGGUGCUAAUUUGGGGACCCCAGGGGCCGCCCCCGGCCUCUUCUCCAACCUGCUUGGACCAGGGUCCUGGGUCUUCCCAACCAUACCCCGAGAUCAGGCCCCACCUGCCAGCUCUACUGGGCUUGGAGCACGUCCGGGCAGUGGAGGGAGGGACACAGCCUGGGACAGGAAGCCUCUUGGGUUGGAGCAGGAGACCCUCAUUUGCCACCCAGACCAAUGUGAGCCUGCCCCCAGCCCCCUCUCAUUGGAAGUGGCAAGGGGCUUCCCUCCUGGGGGCAGCUACACUCGUCCCCAGAGGCACAUUCGUGUACAUUCUCACAGACACCGUCUCACACGUUGGCUUUGGACAACCAGGCCCCAACUUGGUCCCUGCCCUAGGGACCUCCAGCCUGGUGCCCAGUGCUCAGGCCGCCUCCUGGUCCAGUCACCACCUGCAGCCUCGGCAGGGCAGGUACAGGGGCCACCUCGGAUGGGAGCCUGGGUCCCUGCCUCCGCUCUGCCCCUGGGUGGCUGAGAGGAGAGGCCCUCUCGGGGGUGACCUGGGCGUCAGCCGUGGAACCCCCUCCUCCUCCCUGGAGUCUGCCCGAGUCCCUCGAGCCGCGAGCCUUCGCUGAAGUGCCCUUGCUAUAACCCCCUCUGCUUCUGGUGUGUGACGAGGCCCCCGAUGUUCUUGAUUUUCCCAGAGAAGCAAAUAAACAGCGUGAACAGCC
rnacentral:sRNA from 1 species